CAGGAACAAUAGUUGAACAGUCAGAUCUAAAGGCUUCAGGAAGCACAGGACUUGUAGGUGAACAUUUUUUUCCAAACUACAUUCCGGCAUCGUUUCAUGACCCGGUUCCAUGAUUUUAGUAAGGAGCUGAUGGAUCUGGACCUUUGAUCUUGCAGAAAUAACACCUUAGUCAACUUCAGCUUGACGAAGUAGACGAACAAUUCACACAUUAAAUUUUAUGCACUCAUAAAAGGUUUUAUAAAUCGAA